GAAACCAAUAAUAAUUACCCUGGCGCAUCUGAAUUAAUGAUUUUGAUUAAACCUCUAACUCUCAGGUCUGU
rnacentral:snoRNA from 1 species